GCUGCCGCGGGGAGGGCGCCAUCUUGGCCCCGCGGAGCGUGACUGUCUCGGCUGGAAGCGUGGGAGGCCGGAGGAUCAGUGACUGGCUGUCGUGGACAUGCUCGCUACACCUCCCGGGGCUUCGCUUCGUUUACUAUUAACUGUCGUUACUCCUCUGUAUCUCGUCAGCAGGGGCUGCCUGCGGUGUUAGAAUUACACGCCCCUGCCACCUGGGCACGGAGCCCAGUCUCCCGGCCCCUCAGUCAGUCCUUGGGUGUAGCUGGAGCAUUUAAGAAAAAUGAAAUAUAGGAACUCAGUGCAUGGUUUCCUGGGCCUUUUUAUUGAAUAUCAUUUCUAACAUGUACACAGUAUAACCCAGGCUUAGUGGAUUCCGGGACAGAAAAUGUUGGGAGCUGGGAUAGUCAAGUAAACAAGAAGAAAUGGUAAAGAGAUGCCAAGUGGGAGAGGAAACUACGGAUGCAGAGAGAGGAUCUGGGAUAAAGAGAACAAAGAUGCGUGGUCGACUUUAUGGAAACUCGUUUCUUUUUAAUAAGUGAGGUACAUGGUAGAAGACUUUGACAUGUUGAUUAUGUGACUGGGACCAAGGACAACAACUCGAGAAUUGAUUAAAACUACAGUUAUUCCUUGGUUGCCCCAAGGAUGAUCCUGGUUAGCCAAGUGAAGCAGUGGGAGUGGAGAAGGAACAAAGAAAUCUGUAAAGUAGUUGUGAUCAAUUAGUUGUAAACACCACUGCACUCAGACUCAGACCAGCUUGCAUUGAUUUUUAUGACCUAAUCUCAGAGGUUGUACAGCGUCACUUCCACUGUACUCUACUUGUUGAAGCAGCUACAAAAACACCACAUUUAAGUAAAGGGGACACUAAUUGGGAGGAGUGUUAGUCACAUUAUAAGAAGAGCAUGUGGAAUGAGAGAUUAAGUAGAGAUAUUAUUGCAGUCAUUUAAGGAAAAUAUAAUCUCCCAUAAUAUUAAUAUCUGUUUUCCUUUUGUAAAAAAAAAAUGUACCAUUUCAGGCUGAGCAUGUUGGCUCAUGCCUGUAAUCAUAACAUUUUGGGAGGCUGAGGCCAGUGGAUCACCUGAGGUCAGGAAUUCGAGACCAGCCUGGCCAACAUGGCGAAACCUCGUCUCUGUUAAAAAUACAAAAAUUAGCCGGGUGUGGUGGCAGUCACCUAUAAUCCCAGCUACUCGGAAGGCUGAGGCAGGAGAAUCGCUUGAACCCAGGGGCGGAGGUUGCAGGGAGCUGGUACCACCACUGCACUCCAGCCUGGAUGACAGAGUGAAACUCUGUCUCAAAAAAACAAAACAAAACAAAAACUAAAAUGUACCAUUUCAGAUUUUUUUUCUGAAAUUAAACCUGAAAAGGUCAAAAAACACAUAAAUUACAGUCCCUUUCAAUUACUUACCAGGUACAGGUAUUGUUUAAGUCUAUAGAAGUUCAGACUAUAGUAGUUCAAAAUACCUUAUACAGGGCAGCUUAUAAAAAGCAGAAGUUUAUUUCUCAUAGUUCUGAAGACUGGGAAGUCCGGGUUCAAGGUUCUGGCAGAUUCAGUGCCUGUCGAGGGACUGCUUUUUGGUUCACAGAUAGUGUCUUCUAGCUGUCUCCUCAUGUGGUAGAAGGGUGCCUUUUUUAUUAGUACCCCUAGUUUUAUUUAUUUUAUUUUAUUUUUUAGAGACAGGGGUUUUACUAUGUUGCCCAGGCUAGCCUCAAACUCCUGGGCUUGAGCGAUCCUCCCACCUCAGCCUCCCAAGUAGUUGGGACUACAGGCACAUGUUAAAACACCUGGUUCCUAUUAGUGGUUAUUUUAUAAAGGCACUAAUCUCAUCUGUGGCACCAGAGCCCUCAUGACCUAAUUACCUCCCAAAGAUCCCAUCCCCUAAUACCAUCAUAUUGGUGAUGAGGUUUCAAUACAUGAAUUUGGGGGGCUGGGGACACAAACAUUCAGACCACAGUAGUUGUUACAUUGAUAUGAGCUGGUAAGUGUUAACACCUGGCAGCAAUCAGAUACCCAGCCAUAGGUGAAGGCAGGUGAUUAGAAUUACCAGCCAACACAUUUAUGUGCUAGCUAAUUUUUAUUCAAAACUUUCUGAAGCUACAUUCAAAGCAGUUAAUGGGAAAUGGAGUAAAAAAAUAGGCAACCUCUCACUCUAGAUAAUGCUGUUAAAAGUAAUUUUUCCUCCCAGUCCUCUCCUGUAAUGAAUAGUAUAAGAAGGUAUCCUCCCAACGUAGAGGCACCUUGUGUUUCCAAAGUUUUAAUUAGUUGUCAUGAUAAUUUUAUGUGUCAACUUGACUGGGUUAAGGGAUGCCCAAAUAGGUAGUAAAACAUUAUUUCUGGGUGUAUCUGUGAAGGUGUUUCUGGAUAAAAUUAACAUUUGAAUGGGUAGACUGAGUAGAGCAGACUGUCCUCCCCCAUGUGGGUGGCCCUUAUCCAAAUGGUUGAAGGCUAAAAUAGAACAAAAAAGCUGAGUAGAGGGGAUUCCCUCUGCCUGACUACCUUCGAACUGGGGCGGUGGCUGUUUCCUGCCUUUGGACUUGAACUGAAACAUCAGCUCUUCCUGAGUCUUGAGCCUCCUGGCUUUUGAACUGAAACAACAGUAAUGGCUCUCCUGGUUCUCAGGCAUUUGGACUUUGACUAGAACUACACCAUCAGUUCUCCUGGGUCUCCAGCUUGCCAAUCUCCAGUUUGCCAACUGCGGAUCUUGGGACUUGUCAGCCUCCAUAACUCCAUGAACCAAUUUUUUGUAAUAAAUCUCUUUCUAUAUGUCUAUUUAUUCUGUUGGUUCUGUUUCUCUGGAGAACCCUAAUGCCAUACAUAAUUUUUAAAAAAAAAAAAACUCUUUCCUUCUCUGUUUUUCUCUUAUACUUUUGUGAGUGUAGUGAUAGGCCAAAUCACAUAAGUGCUAAUAAAUACUUUUCCAACAAGUACUUAACCUUGUUUAGGUGAUAAUCACUUGUCUUACCUUUGUGUUCAGAAGAAUUCCCAAUUCCAACUUUCUUAGGUAUUUAUUGAAAAGCAGGAGGAGGGUUCGGUGGAGGGAAGAAGAGAUGGAAUAGGAUUUAGGAUCAUUGCAAAGACCGAGGUAGUUGGGGAACAUAAAGGUUUUAUGUUGCCUUUCUUCUUCCUCCUUAUCAUUGAAGGUCUCCUCCUCCCUCCUGCUCCCCAUCACACACCCUCACAUGCCCCCAUGUGGCCUCUUACUAAACAGGGAGAGAAGAGAAGAGCUGGAGAAAUGGAAGUAUUUUGUAUUGGUAAGCCCAAGCAGCAGCAUGCUGAGAAAAGAGGAGUUUUUAUGGCCCCUGGCUACCCAUCUGGAAUAAACAGUUCUAUUUCCAAAUGGCUAUUUCUAUGCCAAUGUAAAAAGACAUAGAUAAUGCAGAUUAUUGUGUAGACAUUACUAAUAUUCAACAAUAUCUCGUUUUCCUCUUCUUCCAGGCAUACUGAAGACUAUAUUUCUCAGCUGCCUUUGCAGGUGGGCAGGGUCAUGUGACUAUUAUGACUAAUAAAAUGUGAGCAAAAGUGACGAGUCACUUGUGGGCUGAGGCAGUGAAAAGUUGUUUGUGAUUCUCAAAUCUCUCUUCUGUUCUGCCAUUGCAAUUGUGGAAGGAGCUUUAUGUUGAAACGGAAGAGCCAAAAGAUUGAAGUAGUCUAUGUCUCAGUCACCAUAUGGGAGGGCAAAUGCCCUGGAGAACCACCCAGACACACAACAAGUUUGUAUGAAUAAGAAAUAAAACUUUGUUGUAUAAGUAAUCAUGAUUUUUGGAGUUGCUUAUUAUCACAGCAUAACCCAGCCUAUCCUGGCAGACAUUGUUAUGAAAAUUGGGGCCUGCAUAUUUAAGAGAGCACAGAUUGUAUUUCUGGGGAAUGGAAGGUUUUAAGUCAGGACUUUAAAAAUAUUCUGUGUUUAUUAGUAGUGGCAAAAAGGAUAUCCUAGGUCCUUGUAAAAUGAAAGAUGGUAGCUGAUAAUGGAGCCUCUGGGCAUCUUUGAAUUAAACUAUUGGGCUUUUCAAGUCAAAAAAAGCAUAUUGGUCUCUGAUAAACUUAUGUUGUUGAAACAGCUUUUUGGAGAGUACUUAAGCUUGGGGUAGGCAAUAACCCAUUUCUCUUUUCUUGGAGACCUAGAUUGUCUCUUUAUACAGAUUUCUACUAACGCUCUCAAGAUAAAGAACCUAAUAUGGAGAGAUAAGGGAGUAUGAAUGUUGAUGUCAGUUGUACCUCUUGAAUAUUUUGUUGUUGUUGUUGUUGUUGUUAUUGGUUUUAAUGGUUAAAAUAUCUUUUCUCACGAUGAGGAAGAAAAUAGAGAAGACAAAAC
rnacentral:lncRNA from 1 species